CCCUGUAGAUCGGGAUAACACCGAGAAAUCGGUGCUAAUACCGGGUAAUAGAAUGAACGUGCAUGCGUUUAUUCUCAAAGGUGGCUCCGGCUAUCACUACAGGAUGGGCCCGCGGCGCAUAGCUAGUUGGUAAGGUAACGGCUUACCAAGGCGGCGAUGCGUAGCCGACCUGAGAGGGUGAUCGGCCACACUGGGACUGAGACACGGCCCAGACUCCUACGGGAGGCAGCAGUAGGGAAUCUUCCGCAAUGGACGAAAGUCUGACGGAGCAACGCCGCGUGAGUGGUGAAGGGUUUCGGCUCGUAAAGCUCUGUUGUUAGGGAAGAACAAGUAUCGUUCGAAUAGGGCGGUACCUUGACGGUACCUACCAGAAAGCCACGGCUAACUAACGUGCCAGCAGCCGCGGUAAUACGUAGGUGGGCAAGCCGUUGUCCGGAAUUAUUGGGCGUAAAGCGCGCGCAGGCGGUCUUUUAAGUCUGAUGUGAAAGCCCCCGGGCUCAACCGGGGAGGGUCAUUGGGAAACUGGGAGGACUUGAGUACAGAAGAGGAGAGUGGAGUUUCACCGUGUAGCGGUGAAAUGCGUAGAUAUGUGGAGGAACACCAGUGGCGAAAGGCGACUCUCUGGUCUGUAAACUGACGCUGAGGCGCGAAAGCGUGGGGAGCAAACAGGAUUAGAUACCCUGGUAGUGCACGCCGUAAACGAUGAGUGCUAGGUGUUAGGGGUUUCGAUGCCUCUUUAGUGCCCGAAGYUAACACAUUAAGGCACCUCCCGCCUGGGGAGUACGACCGCAAGGUUGAAACUCAAAGGAAUUGACGGGGGCCCGCACAAGCAGUGGAAGCAUGUGGUUUAAUUCGAAGCCAACGCGAAGAACCUUACCAGGUCUUGACAUCCUUUGACCACUCUAGAGAUAGAGCUUUCCCCUUCGGGGGACAAAGUGACAGGUGGUGCAUGGUUGUCGUCAGCUCGUGUCGUGAGAUGUUGGGUUAAGUCCCGCAACGAGCGCAACCCUUGAUCUUAGUUGCCAGCAUUUAGUUGGGCACUCUAAGGUGACUGCCGGUGACAAACCGGAGGAAGGUGGGGAUGACGUCAAAUCAUCAUGCCCCUUAUGACCUGGGCUACACACGUGCUACAAUGGAUGGUACAAAGAGCAGCGAAACCGCGAGGUCGAGCCAAUCUCAUAAAGCC
rnacentral:rRNA from 1 species